GACUUUUAACAAUGGAUCUCUUGGCUCUCGCAUCGAUGAAGAACGCAGCGAAAUGCGAUAAGUAAUGUGAAUUGCAGAAUUCAGUGAAUCAUCGAAUCUUUGAACGCACCUUGCGCUCCUUGGUAUUCCGAGGAGCAUGCCUGUUUGAGUGUCAUUAAUAUAAUCAACCUUCUCUUGUUUUGAGAAUGGUUUGGACGUGGGGGGUUUGCUGGCCUCUCUCAAAAGGGUUCAGCUCCCCUGAAAUGCAUUAGCAGAACAACCUUUGCUCAUUGGUGUGAUAACAUCUACGCUUAUGAAUACAAGGGGGCAGUUCAGCUUUCUAACAGUCUUUGGACAAUUCAUCAUUAAUGUGACCUCAAAUCAGGUAGGACUACCCGCUGAACUUAAGCAUAUCAAUAAGCGGAGGCU
rnacentral:misc_RNA from 1 species